CCCAAUUGUUGGGAUGCAGGUAUAGUUUCUAUUUGAUUUACUUUUUGUAUCAUAUAACGUUAAACAAUUUUGGUUAUAUAUUUAUUUAUUUUUGGCAAUUCUUACUCUUUAAGUUCAGUUCCUCGAAAGGCCUCUUGGAUGCAGAAUCAUUCGAGGCACCAAUUGUUCACCUGCUAAGCCUAAAGGUUUCAAGCUAAGCAUUUUCAUCAGGAGAAAGGAUGAGGAUGAUAGAAGAAUAACUAUGCAUAGGGUACAAAUUUGCGUCAAGGAAGUGAGCAUACUGUUUAAUAGCAGUAUCUCUUCCAGGGACGUCGCUGGAAAGAAAGUCGUAUGGCGCAGGCUUGCUAGUGUCUACCAGAGGCUCCCAUCUGUAUCCUGGCCGUUCAGGCAGUGCUAUGAUAACAGGCAAAUGAUUAGCAUUGAAAGCAACAUAGAUCUCUCCCUUUGCCGAGUCCAUCUGUGACAACCCAUGCUAAGCAUCACUUAAAACAACAGGUGAUGCCAAAAAGGACAUCAAGAAUAAACCUAAAGGACAAUGGUUGAGGCACCGUAGCAAUUGUGAGAAGUGAACUAUUAUUUUUCAAACUUUGCAAAUUCUAACAGUUUUGGACCCUAAAAGAGGCAUCUAUCUAUACCAUAAGCUACUCUUCUCUAUUAUUUUGUAAUAAUUAUUAUCUUUUUUCACAUUUUCAGCAACUUUACCAAUUUCAGUUAUCAUACUUUUCACAAAUGUCGAUAUGAAUCCAAGAAAAAGGACAUCACAAAAAUAACACUGCCCAUCCUACUUCUAGGAAAGUAUCAAAGACAGGCAUCUCUAUAUUAUCAAUUCAUAAGCAUGGUCUGAUCACUUCCACUUUGACAAGGUCUGAUCACUUACAGUCAGAGGAAAAUUAUCUACUUGAGAAAUGAUCCUAUACACAUGCAGUGCACGGCCUCUAAAUUUUAAGACAAAAUAUGGUUAUAAGUUUUUGAUUACCUACAAAUUAUUGAACUAAAAGAAGAUACAUCUGAAGGAGACUCUGAUUGAAAUUUUAACGCGUUCUCCUUGCUUGUUUCCAGCGUAAAUGCCACAAAACGGCUUGUUUCAGACCAAUCUGGCACCCCAGGGUUAUGACCAUGCCAUUGUAACCUCUCUGCUGUUGGGAAAUCAUUCAGACCAAGGGACUCGCAUUCAUGGCGGAACUUGGUCAUCAGGCAGCAAAAUCUAUAGAAAUCUGAUGACGACUCUUCCUUCUUAUCCCACCGGAAGUAAUUAAUCUGCAUCACAUCACAUGAUCAGUAAAUAUUAUCAGCAGUUGCUUCUGAAAUAGAUGCCAGACAGCAGCAGAUUGCAGAGGAUCACAUAGUUAUCAUGGCAAUAUGUAUUGUUGUUUCCCCCUUUUGUGUGACCAUAUUCAUCCCCCAUAUAUAUCAUUGGAACGCCCUGGUAAAGACAAAAGAUCAAGGUCAGUUUAUAAUGUCCUUUCUGGGUUAAGAUAAAAUUAGGUAACUACAAUAUGCGUUUCAGCACCAUUAGCGCAGAUAGGUGCAGAAAGAGCUGAGAGCUCUCACAACCAACUUACAAAUUUAACUGAAUUGUAGCAAAGAAGAAAACUGGAUGACAGUAGAAAAGCAUCUGAUGAUGAUUCUUAUCUAGUUAUAUAAUGUUAAUGUUAGAUACUUGCAAGAAAAUUUGACCUGCUAUAUAGGUUUCUACUUUCGAAAGUAUUGCCCAUUAAUUUUCUAUUCCCACCACAAUAUAAUAUUAUGCACCAGCUUCAGGCUUUUUCGGUCAUUCAACAAUCUUUUGAAAAGACCGUCAACUUUUGAGGCAAAGUUUAAGUGGACCAUCUUCCAUAGCAUAAAAAAUAUAAUAAGAGCCACUCUAAUUGAUCUGUACUGGUGCAACAAUACAGUGAACUACUUGUUUUAGGACUACUACAAUCUGUUAUUUAACACUUUUCUUACAGGAGUAGCUUAAUUUUCCGAGUUCAACAGUGUGCUUUUUUGGAGUCAAGUACGCUCUCUCUUUUAUAGUAUAUAUUUGAGGAGAACUGUAAUUUGAUUUUCUUUUCUUGCUGAAGCAUUUCAAUUAGUUCAUUGCUUACUGUCCACUGGAGGAAAGAGAUGGAAGAAAAAGAUGAAGGAAGACUGAUAAAAAGAAACAGUAAAGGCUCAGUCAAGUCUAGAAUAGGAAAAUAAGUAGAAAUGGAGACAAGCUUGCAGAUUUGGUAAAGCAAAAGAAGAUUGUAAAACAUGGAUAAGAGGAUUAGCAACUGGAAUUAUGAAGUGACGCCUAUGUGUUCCUCCCCAAAAUAAAAGCAACUUUAAGAAAUGGAGAAUUGACAGAUGAUGGUUGGGUGAAGUGAUAAUGUAAUUAGGACUGCAAAUUAAGUACACAGAUGAUAAUAUUUGACUCCCUUUCUGCCCACUUACUCUUUUUUCCCCCCUCCUGUUUUCCAGGGAAUUAUAAGAUACAUGAUCAAGGAAAUUAAGUUUUCUCAUUACAACAAAUGUACACAGUAUUGUAUGUUGCAAAAUGCAAGCUCCCUUCUCAUCUGUCAUUGAUACAGUAGAACAUGAGAUCAACCAGGCUCUGAUGUAAACUCUUCUCCAUUUCCCAUUAAUCCUCUACAAAAACAGCUGUUCUAGGAGACUCAAAAUAGAUAUCUCAGCCACAAGUAGAGAAGUGCAAAAUCUAUCAUGUACUACUCAAAUAUCUUUAAUUAAUGGGCUAAAAGAAGUCGCAAUUAUCCCAAAUGUAAAUGUGCGAGUAUAAAAUGAAACUUACUUGUGAAACCAUGAGACAAAGAAAGAAAUUACACAUUUGUCGUUUCCUCAACUUCUUCACUGAGACGCUUGCAAACUCCCCUUCCUAUGCAGUGAUUUAACGAAAUAGAAUGAAUUAGCAUAAAUAAGGAAGCCAAAUAAGACCAUUUCCUGGAAUGAUCAAAUUUACAUAAACUGAAAAAAAAUGUGAUCAUACAAUUUGCUCUAACAAGAGGGUGUAAGUAGAAGAAAGAGUUGCUAUGCCAGGUAAUCUAAUGAUUUUGCCUCUUCAUUUUUCCUCCUAUAAAAUCCAAGACAUAACUACAUACAAGAACAUAAAAAUAAAAAAUAAAUAAAAGUAACUCCCUCCAGUUAAGUUGAAUAGCAGUCAAAGAAACCACCCCAAAAGCCCACAGAAAUGCAAAAAACCACCUUGUCCCACAAUAAAUUAAAAGACAAAAAUGAUUUUCGAAGUGGGCAUUCCUUUCCAUCCAAAUUCAAACAAUAGCAGAGCUAACUUUACCUGUCCACAGUUCCAGCUAUUGUUAUGGUUUUCUCCAUCAUUGUUGUCUUCCCCAUUUGCCAAGUUAUUUUUGUUGUUAUAAGUCACCAAAUCAGCCAAAGUAAAACCAUCAUGUGCACAUACAAAGUUGAUGCUGUUCCAUGGUUUCCUUCCUCCUUCCUGGUAUAAAUUAGGGCUCCCACAUAGGCAUUCGGCAAAAGCCCCAGAAAAGCCAUCUGUACCCUUGAUGAACUGCCUCACGGUGUCACGAUACUUCCCAUUCCAUUCCGACCAUAUUUGCCAAUGAGGAAAUGUACCAACUUGAUACAAGCCUCCUGCAUCCCAUGCUUCAGCUAUGAGCUUUACUUCACGAAGUAUUGGAUCAUUACUUAUCAUGUCAAUCAAUGGAGGGCUCCCAAGAGGGGUGCCAGUCGUCAACAAGUCACCUUCUAUUGGAUUCCCAAAUACGUUCACUGGAUCCCAAAGACUAGUUGAGAAACGAAAGUUAAGAAAAUCAUCGUUUAAUAUAAUCGACGUUUAAUAUAAAAUUACAAGUCUAAAGAAUAUUCAGAUUGUUUAACAACAACCUACUACCCCUGGUCAUAAUAGAAGCAAGAUCAAAGCGGAAGCCAUCCACAUGCAUUUCUAUUACCCAAUAUCUGUAUCACAAGACAGCAAAAUCAAAGCCUUCAAAUACAAUAGCAAAGAAGUAAAUUCACAAUUAAACAUGAUACAUAUUAUAUAAAAAAGCUUGUCACCCACAAGCAUAGUAAACAAGAAUGUAAAGGAAAGUAAAACAUAAUAGACACAUCAAGCAUUGACUUCCUCUAUAAUCUUAGUUUCGCUCCCAUAAGCCAUUGACACUUGGCCACCAUCUAACUGGCAUGGUUUUAGAUAGCAGCAAAUGGCAGGCACAGGGUAUUCCUGCAUCAAUCCCACUACAAACUACCAUUGCAACCUUAGUUAUGUUAGCUUGUUAAUUAAUAAUGCUCGGUCAUUUGAUUACCUUUCUAUAAAAUUAUAAGAAAAAAAAAAAGUAAGGAAUCAUAUGAGUGACAUCUAAAAAACUUCAUUUAGGAGUUCUAAAACAUUCCAAGCCAUGGAUAAUAUUUUAACUGAAAGUUUUGAUGCAUUAACAGAAUUUCAAUUGUAUCUAGAAAAAGGAAUAAACAUCAAACUAAAGAAUUGAUAAGAUAAAAAAUGGUGUCUUCUUCCAUUUUUCCUUUUAAUCUCAGCCAUAAACUGGGCAUAGAGAGCUCUCACACAUUUACCUUAAACAGUCCAAUAAAAAUUGGCGCACAAUAGGAUGGUUGCAAUUGAAUGUGUUCCCACAACCCGAAUAAUUAUAGAACUCUCCCUUAGGAGCAAGCAUGUAAUAGACACUGUUAUCAACUCCUCUAAAAGAUAAGAUGGGGCCUUUCUCAUUUCCUUCAGCUGUGUGAUUGAAAACAACAUCCAUGAUCACCUCAAUUCCUCGUUUAUGAGCUUCUCUAACAAGAAAUUUGAACUCAUGAAUUGCAUCACAGCCACAGUUAUGUGUCCCAGCAGAAGAAUAUCUUGUCAUAGGUGAAAAGUAAUUGACAGUAGAAUAACCCCAAAAGUUCAUCUUGUAGUCACCCAAGACAGAAUUGUAACUGAAGUACUCCAGCUCGUUGAAUUCAUGGCAUGGCAUUAACUCUAUGCAGUUGACACCAAGUUCCUUCAAGUGAUCAAGCUUUUCCACAGUAGCAAGAUAUGUCCCAGGGAAUUCAGUUCUGCUAGAUUCAUGUCGUGUAAAACCUCGAACAUGCAUCUCAUAUAUCACCAGAUCUUUCUGCGGAUAUUUCAAUGGUAAAUCUCCUUCCCAGUCAAACUCAUCUUGAGCAGCAGGAAUCAUGCCAGCCAUUUGGGGCCAGCAAUUAUCAUCAGGUCCCAAAACACCAAAUUCCCCUCUGCUUAUUACUGCUUUUGCGUAAGGAUCCAACACAAUCCGAGAAGAAUCAAAGUAAUGUCCUUUCUCAGGAGAAAAUUUGCCAUCAAAUCGGUAGCCAUAUAACAUAUCUUCAAAAUUUCCUUUGAGAAAUACAUGCCAAAUAUCCCCAGUCUUAUUAGCGAGUGGAUCAAGUGGAAUCUCCUCAGUCACUGUAUUCUCCAGCAAAUCAUCGAGAGAAAUCAAACAGAGAGAAGCAGAAACGGCAUUGGCAGAAUAGACAGCGAAAUUAACUCCACCAUCACUAGCAGUGGCCCCAAAAGGUGCCGGAUAGCCUUCAGUCACCUGAAAUUUUCCCAAUUUGGGCUUAUCGACAACCACAGCAGUCUCCACCUCUGCUCCUCCAUCUCUUCUGGCGGCUUGAAUCAAUGGAGGAGCCUUCUUGACAUUUAAUAAUGAUUGAGAAUGAAAAGAGCAUCUCCUUCGCCGGAAUUUGAGAAAUUCAGCGGCACCCUUCGUUGGAAGAGGAUUGAGCAAGGAAACACAGAGGAAGCGUGAGGUAGCAGAUUGAAUUAACUCCAUAUUAAUAUUAAUUGGUCAUAAUCACCAUCGCCAUCGUCGUCGUCGUCGUCGUCUUGGUGCAGAGUUGAGGACUAGAUAACAUCUAAAAUCUGUGGAUUUGUUUUCGCCACCAAAUUUCCGCUAAGUGCGCAGUCACUAAUCACUCUCCACUAGGUAACUUCCCUCACUGCUCACUCAGCUGAGCUGCCAAUUAGACAAACGGAGAUCCAGAACUGUAACAUUUUGCCUGGGAUGAUAUCCAGAAUCCAACUUUUAAUUAUUGGG
rnacentral:misc_RNA from 1 species